rnacentral:rRNA from 1 species
UACGAAGGGUGCAAGCGUUACUCGGAAUUACUGGGCGUAAAGCGUGCGUAGGCGGUUUGUUAAGUCCGUUGUGAAAGCCCUGGGCUCAACCUGGGAAUUGCAGUGGAUACUGGCGAGCUAGAGUGCGGUAGAGGAUGGUGGAAUUCCCGGUGUAGCGGUGAAAUGCGUAGAGAUCGGAAGGAACGCCCGUGGCGAAAGCGGGCUCCUGGACCCCACCUGACGCUGAGACGCGAAAGCCAGGGGAGCAAACGGGG